CUGGCUCGGUGUGGUGGUCACUGGAUUUCUAAAUACAGUGGUAGCUGCUGGAGUGGUGGUCGCUGGAGUGAUGGCUACCGAAAUUAUGUGGUGGUGGAAGGUUGAAAAUGGAAAGUGAGAUCUUUUACCAACCUGGAUACUUUGAUUUAAAUUCUAAUUCCCAAACUAACAAAAUUUAUUCACUAAAAUGACUAUUUUGACUUUGAGACACAAAUCACUGAAUUGGUCUUGUUUUUUUUUUUUUUUUUAAAUAUUUAAUCAAUCUAAUUUGGUUUUAUUUAGUUUUUCUUAAGACUAGUUGGGCCUCCGCGUGCGCAGCCAACUUGGUUAAUCAAUGGUUGCAGCUGCUUCUCUAAUCAAUGGUUGUUAUUGCUCUAGCUAUCCAUAUAUUUCUAUAUCUCAAGAAAAAUAGCAAUAAAAAACUAACCUCAAUGAGUUAUCCGAUCAAAAGGUAAUGUUAAAGAUGACUUUAGUUAAAAUGUCUAUCAAGAUGUUUACUAACUUGUCCUUUAAUCGUCAUUUAAUUUAAUGAAAAAUAAUGAUUAAUAUUUAUUUACUCUCAAAUUAAUGAAAACAAUGAUUAAUAUUUGUUUACUCACAAAUAAUGAUGAUAAUAGUCAAACCUGGUUAUCUGUUCAUUUACCUGCAAUUAAGAUACACUACUUUUCCGAUUUAUCUGCAAUUAAGAUAAACUACUUUUUCGAUAAUAGAUAAAUUACUAAGUUGGACUAAUAUUAGAAAUUAUAGAUACAAAAAAUAUGUACAAUGUUGUGGUUAUUUUAUUUUAAGUACAAACAUUUACACAUAGUAUUUAAAAAGAUAGUACAUAUAUCACUACUACAAAAAUUGGCAAAGAGAUCUAUUAAAUAAGACCCAUUAGGUAAAAAGCAGGUCUCUUUAGUGGAAGAGACCCCGUAUAACAAAAAGCGGAUCUCUUAUAACGCGUGGCCCUGUUAAAUGAAAAAGAAAAGAGCCAAUUUCACAAAACACGGGUCUGUUAUCUCCCGUGGGCCCCAAUUGAUGAAAAUGAAGAAGCCUGAUAUCCAAAAACACGGGUCUCUUCUCCACACCCCUCCUUUUUUUAUCUCUCUUCUUGUCUUCCUCUACAGCGAGCAAACAAAAGUUAAACUUUAAUUUCUCUCUCCUCUACAACCUUCGACAAUGUUCACUCUUCACAAAAAAAAGGAGUCUUAGUGAAAACCUAAAGAAGGCGACGGCGAAGAAGAUCUUUGGAGCAGAUCUGCUAUCAAAAGAAGCAAAUGAUCGAGAGCGGAUUUCACUGGUUUUUUCCCCUAUAUUUUGUAGUGGUGUGGCUGAACAGGGAAACGAUGAAGCUACAAAGCUGCAGCAGUUCCUGAAUGAGAUCUUGUAAAUUACCAAGCAGAAGUUUUGGUUAAAAUAGCUAGGAAGUUUUCAAAUGUUGCUCCAACUAAACCUUUUAGACUUGGAUUGGAUGAGAUUUUGAACACUCUUGACAGGGCCUACAUUAUCACUGAGUAGGAAUAUGAUGGUGUUGCCGAGCUAGACACCCUAGAAGGAGAGUAAGAAGAAUCGUACAAAGAUAGCAUAAUACUUCGAUUAUCCAACUCCAAACUCACUUCACAGACACCAGAUAUGCAGGCUGUAGCCUGUAGGUUUAUCAAAGUGUCCAUGAAGGAGUCAACUAUGGAUCAAGUUUCAGUUAUUAAUCCAUCUCAAUAUACACAAGUCAAAAGUCACAGGCAGUUACCUAGUGGUUAAUUUUCUGAAGAAACUUAUUCAUCGGGAAAUGUGGAUGAGGUUAGAGAUAUGUGGGUCGAGUAUUUGCUCAAGCAAGAAGCGGAUGAAGAAAACCAAGUUGAUGGUAUGAAAAUAACUCCAUGAGUUUCGGUUCCAAUUGUUGGUAAAUUGGCGUGAAUGAUUAUAUUUUUGAAUUGAUUUUUGUUUUACGUUUUUUGGAAAUUGCGAUGUAAAGCUUUGACGUUUAUGCAAAUUACAAUUUAUGUAAAGCUUGCGUUUUGAGCAUUA